rnacentral:lncRNA from 1 species
AUCUACAAACCGAGAACAAACUGCAUUUGCUCUAUUUGAUGCAUUACAUGUUUGAAUUACGCCAUGCAUGCAAACACAUGGACAUUUUUUUUUUGCGAGAACAAACACAUGGACAUUUUUUUUCUGCGAGAACAAACACAUGGACAGUUUCAAAUUUGGACCAAGCAGAUCAUGAGAAUCCACAGCAACAUAUCAUGUACUUAUUUGUCCGAGACAAAAUUCUAGCAAUCUUCCUGCCUCCUCCCUACGUUGGGAUUUUCUAGACUGGGUUACCGCCGGCUUUGGUAUGAAAAUACAUCGCGGGAAAAUGGAAAUGGAUGCCCUUCAUGAACAGUUCAGAUAAACUGCAUCCUUUUUCAGACCAUGCACUUGAAUGUUCUGCAAUCUGAUUCAGUAAGCAUACUGUAAAUGCACAUGGUGAUUAAACAGCCUUCAGCUUCUAACAGUACAGUUGAAAGCUCUACUUCCAACAUAUUCACACAAGAACUUGGAAUCGAAACGAGCAAAAGUAAUUACCGUAAGGUCUAACCAAUGAAAGGCAUCUAGGUUUGCACCUCAUCCGAAGAAUCCUGAAACGUUUUCAUCUGGGCUGAAGAAUACAUUUGAUACUGUCACAUUCUGUAACUUCAACAGUAGUUAAGACUUGAAAGUGAGCGCACACCUGCCAAGCUUAACAAAGCAGAAAUGAUAAACAUAAAAUAUUUACAGGUUGGGAUUUUGCACCAGGCAAGGUGUACCGCACGGAAUCAAAGCAACGGCGCCUGCAUGAUGACUGGACGCUAACGUGGAGUUCUUUGCGGCCACAAAUAUAAUUUAGGCAUGACGACUUUAUCUUUAUCUUCAGAGCCGGCUACAGAAUCAUUCUACACUUCUGCACUAAAUCCUCACUCUACUCUACUAGUGCCCACUGGCAGAAUAUCAGGUAAUAUGUUGCUGCAUCUUGAUCAGAAUCUCUGGGCUGAAAGCUUACUUCUCGUUGAAGUUUCUUCUCACUCAAGGUUCUAGCACCACGGUAUUCGACAGCGUAGGCCGCGGUUUUGCAGAAUGGGCAGCUGCAUUGCUAGUUAAGGGCCCAAGGUGAUUCAGAUGCCAAAUUGAGCUAGAAAACUGUCAUAUUUUAGGCCCAGUGCAUUAACGAAUCAACUUAAAAUUAUCCUGUAUAAACUGUCAGAAGUAUGAAGUGGAAGCAUUAUUUGACAACCUUUUUAGAAUCAUGAUGACAGUGAAAAAACUUAUCUGAGGUGAAGCAUUCUCUUAGAAGACUAUUCUUUCUUUGCAAACGGGAUCAGGGCGGAGUGGAUAGCCGUGAUGCGCCGAUAGUGACGUCGCUUUCGGCAGAAGCAGAAUUCCAAACUGAACUGAAAAAAUAGAUAGAGAAAUGAAAAAGCUUAGUUUCUGAAUAUAAUUUUCAGUGUCAAUGAGGGUCCAACUUGAACCCGGGUCUCUCGGGUGAGAGCCGAGUAUCCUAACCACCUAGACAACGACGGAUUUAUGAUACUUCAUAUUAGAAGAAAUGUGUUUGUGCAAACCACACAAAAUUAGCAAGGUCAACUCAUAUUCUUGACAUCACAAAACAGCACGAACGAUAGCACAACUGAUUCAAACGUAUUAUCGCAAAGAAUGGGAAAGAAAAAUCAGGUAUUUAUCGUCAGGUCUAACAAAUGAAUUGCAUCUAGGUUGCACCUCAUCCGAAGAAUCCUGGAACUAGCAAAAAGUUUUCAUCUGGGCUGAAGAAUACAUUUGAAUUGAGACUGUCAUUUGUAACUUUGAUAGUACUACUCCAUCCGUUCCUCAAUAUAAGUUUUUUUUAGAGAUUUCAUUAAGGGUCUACAUACGAAGCAAAAUGAGUGAAUUUAUAUUUUAAAACAUGUCUAUAUAUAUUCGUAUGUAGUGUCUUAGUGGAACCUC